AUUGGGGACUGAAUGGGAAAAUGUUCCCUAGCUCUUGGUCCGGGUUCCAUUGAAUCCUAACCUGUAUAUCUUAUGCAUACACUUCUCCAAUGUGGGACUUCAAUUAAGAUUCCCUCUGUUUAUCUUCAGGAUCUGUAACAGUGGUUCCUUCUGGAGGCCUCUGGUAAUCCUUGCAGGCCGCGGGAGCUGCUGCAGCGAGGCGAGGGGCCCCCCGAACAGACCCAGAGGGAUGACCGUGGAGAAGGAGUUCGCUCUGCUCUUUUAUGGUGCCAUGACGAAAACCAAGUCUGGUAACUUUGGACGAGAAACAUCAAAAACAUACUCGGUGGCUGGACCCUCCGAUACCUUAACACUAGGAUGAAGACUUUUGAGGAGAGCAAACAAG